rnacentral:rRNA from 1 species
UACGUAGGGUGCAAGCGUUAUCCGGAAUUAUUGGGCGUAAAGAGCUCGUAGGUGGCUUGUCACGUCGGGUGUGAAAGCUUGGGGCUUAACUCCAGGUCUGCAUUCGAUACGGGCUGGCUAGAGGUAGGUAGGGGAGAACGGAAUUCCUGGUGUAGCGGUGAAAUGCGCAGAUAUCAGGAGGAACACCGGUGGCGAAGGCGGUUCUCUGGGCCUUACCUGACGCUGAGACGCGAAAGCGUGGGGAGCGAACCGG